rnacentral:lncRNA from 1 species
UGGGGUAUUUUUUAAUGAGCUCUAGUUAAUGCUGGUGUGAAAUAUAAGAAAAUGCAUCCUCAGUCUGAGCCCUAAUGCUGUCAUGUGAUGUCUGGUGUUGCACAUUGGACAAAAUCGAAAACAUGUAGCAAAACCAUAAAUAUUGUCCAACAUGUUUAACCCCGCCACAUUAUGUAUGUAUGUGUCUGUCCCAAGUCAGGAGCCUGUUAUUCAGUGGUUGUGGUUUGUUUGUGUGUAAAAUAUUUGUUUUUUGAUCAUUUUUUUUUUAAAAUAAGGCCGUGAGUUUUCUUGUUUGAAUUGUUUUACAUUGCCAUUUUGGACCUUUUAAAGCUGACUAUGCGGUAUAGGCUUUGCUCAUUGUUGAAGGCCGUACAGUUACCUAUAACUUAAUUUCUGUGUCAUUUUGGUCUCUUGUAGAGAGUUGUCUCAUUGGCAAUCAUACAACAUCUU